GCCUCUGUAGCUCAGCGGAAGAGCACCCGCCUUACACGCGGGGCUGUCGGGCGUUCGAAUCGCUCCAGGGGCA
rnacentral:tRNA from 2 species